rnacentral:rRNA from 1 species
UACGUAGGGUGCAAGCGUUGUCCGGAGUUAUUGGGCGUAAAGAGCUCGUAGGCGGUCUGUCGCGUCUGCUGUGAAAACUCAGGGCUUAACCCUGAGCUUGCAGUGGGUACGGGCAGACUAGAGUGCGGUAGGGGAGACUGGAAUUCCUGGUGUAGCGGUGAAAUGCGCAGAUAUCAGGAGGAACACCGAUGGCGAAGGCAGUGGUCUGGGCCGAUACUGACGCUGAGGAGCGAAAGCGUGGGGAGCGAACAGG